GAUGAAGAACGCAGUGAAAUGCGAUAAGUAAUGUGAAUUGCAGAAUUCAGUGAAUCAUCGAAUCUUUGAACGCACCUUGCGCCCUUUGGACAUUCCGAAGGGCAUGCCUGUUUGAGUAUCAUGAACACCUCAACUCUCACGGCUUGUCCGUGAUGAGCUUGGACUUUGGGGGUCUUGCCGGCCUGUGGUCGGCUGCUCUCAAAUGGAUCAGCUUGCCAGUGUUUGGUGGCAUCACAGGUGUGAUAACUAUCUGCGCUUGUGGUUUUCCAUCAGAUAACCUUCAGUGAUAUGGAGGUUCGCUGGAGCUCACAAAUGUCUCUCCUUAGUGAGGACAGCUCUUUGAACGUUUGAUCUCAAAUCAGGUAGGACUACCCGCUGAACUUAAGCAUAUCAAUAAGCGGAGGA
rnacentral:misc_RNA from 1 species